rnacentral:tRNA from 1 species
UCCCUUGUAGCUCAGUUGGUAAAGAAUCUGUCUGCAGUGCAGGAGACCUAGGUUCGAUCCCUGGCUUGGGGA